GGAAGUUUUGCAAUUACCAACUUAAAUUCUGUCACUUCACAGGGCAAAAAUUGAUAUGGACAAUGAGAGGGACAUUGUCGAAGAGAUUCUGCACAAUCAAAUUCUCUAUGAAAAAGAGCUGGAUGAUCUUAAGGAACAACUGCAAUAUUCAUCGUCACAGUGUACUUAUCUAAAUGUGGAAAAUCAAUUCCUGAGACAGGAGGUUCUGUCUUUGGAAGAAUUAAAAAUCACAUUUCAAAAACUGGAGGAAGAGAAAAACCAAUUGGAGGAAAAAUUGUCAACCCUUCAAUCUAGAGAAAAUGAUUCAGUGGAAAUUGAUCCAAGAGGACAGUACGAAGCAGCAAAUGAAAAGACAGGGAGGGAGAAAACAUUGGAGGAAACGGUUCAAUCCUUACAGACAAAGAUCUACUUACACCAAUUAAGAGAACAUCACGAUGCGUCCAUGAGAAGUGAGAUGAAGCUGAACAUUCAAGAAAUGAAGGCCAAACUUUUUGACAUGAACAAUCAAGUUUACGCUUAUAAAAUGGAGCUGGAGCAGUAUAAGCAGCUCUAUUUAGACGAAAUGGACAGGAGAAUGUCAUUGUCUGAUGAACUUAGCAUGUGAGUGAAAUUAGUAUCAUAGGAAAUACAUUAAGCUUAUAUAUUUGUCUCUAAAGAAUAACAUUUCAUGAGUCACAGUCAUGAGAUGAUUAGAACAUACAACUCGAAAGACUAAGUUGGAAACAUAUUGGUGGUAAAUAAACUGACUUUUAGAAUAUGAGUGCAGGGCACUUUCUAUAUCUCCCCCCUUUUGGGGCUUAUGUCAUUUCCAUCUUUUCCCAGUAAUGUAGUUUUAUUGCUAAAGUGAUCACUUAAUCUUUAAGUAUUUAUCUAAUGUCACAUUUAACAUCUUACGAGUGACAUGGUUACAAAUUCUCUUAAUAGCAUUCCAUCCAAAAAAUCUCUCAGUAAAUAACUACAUGAGAAAGAUUAUAACUGAAACCCAAAGAGUUGCUAUCUGUAAUCCUCCUCCUCUGGGUGCAUUCCGGUACUUGGUCAAUGAAUUUUCCUUGUUUGAGAUCUUUUCUAUUAUCCCUAGAGGGUCACUGGAGACGAUCUGUCCUUUUGAGUUUUUCAAGUCUACAUAAACUCAUACUUGUGAUACAGGAAAUGGUUAACACACGAUGAAGAAAAGAAUACAUCGCAAAGUGGUUGAAACAAAUUCCUUGGCCCAGUGAAAGGGUCUGAGUGGAAGACAAAGGGUUGGUCCCCCGUCCAGUGCCGUGCUAACGAUGUUUUAAGCUAACUGUCUUCCAGGCUGCUUGAGUUCUUGUGACCACCAAGUGAGUUAUCUGGUUCUCCCCUGGAGGAUGCUGCUGUGAAUUAUUCUGGAGGACGCAGUGCUCAUUUCCUUCCAUCUGAUGUGUGGACUCUGCAGAUCGUGAGAGCAUGUGUUGACAAUGCCUUUGGGGGUACAUCUUCAAAGGCCCAUAAACUGUUUUCACUAAACACAAGUAUUACUGCCUUGACUUUUUGAGUAUUGUAUAUGCAUAUAUUUAGGCAGCAUAUCAUGGUGUUUUAAUGUACAUAGUAUUAGAAUAGACCAUUAGAAUCACCUAAAUUGGCAUAUGCAUCAUCUCACAGUUACCCUGUGAGCAGUGUACUGCUAACAGCAUCUUGCAGGGUCUUAAGAGUGGAGAACUUCCAGAGGGCAGAGGUGUCACCUGUUGACCACACUUCAUUGAUAGUUAUUUCUCCCUCCCCCUCUGUUUGAGCUGUGAGUUAGUUUGAACUAUUAGUUUUUCCCCCUAGGAAUAUAUGUAGCUCAUUCGAGCAAUUUGAAACUUAAAAUUAACUGUACGCGGUAGGUCUGCUCUGACACGUUUAGGAUUGAAACAUUGUUGAGUGGAAAACUCCAUUUACUCUCAUGGUACUUUCUGAAGAAUGCACUUCAUUUAGGGAAAAUGAGAAACUAAUGAUUUUGUUUUCCAAUCUUUGCAGGAUGAAGGAAAGGCUAACGGAAGUUAGUAACGAACUUGCAAGAUGUUGUAAUGUUCAGGAAACAUCAAUGAUCCUAAUGCACACCACCCAUGUUGAAAUAACAGCAUGCAGAACUGUGGCUGUCAGCUCUACCUCUCUUUCAAGUGAGCAGUAUUUUGAAGAAGAAACAUCAUAAAGUCAAGUGAGAAGAAAACCUUUCUGAGACAGUAAAGAAACCCAUCUUGCAGGAUGAUAUUGAAGAUUGGUCUUCUGAUUAUAUAAGAUGAUUAUUUUAUAAAAGACUUUCUAGUGUAUAAGACACAGCAGUGUCCAACUGUGUAUAGUAGCCAGUUAGUUUUCUUCGUUUUUACUUUGUUAUCUGUGUUAUAGCUCAAUAUGGAUUUGUGUUUAUACAAAUUUUAUUUGUAUUUCAUGUUAAACCUGAAAUAUGUGCUUGCUUAUGUGAAAAAAAGAGGCACUAUGACUUUGAUACCUUUCUAAAUUAACAAAUAAAACAGUGCUUUCAGUGUUUUGAUAGCAUGAGAAUGAAGUUCAGCAGUUUGCUAAAAAUGUUUAUUCCUUUUAACAACGUUGAGUAUCCCUUACGCUUGUGUGUUUUUCACUACUCAUGCUUUGGUGAGAUCUUUAUUUAACAGAAUAGGACAGUGAUGAAUGUUGGGAGACAUUUUUCUCAUUUUUCCUGCCUAAUCUGUUCUAGAAACUGUAUUAAACCAUUCCAGAGGGAAAACUUCUGAAUUUCUGUUAAAGAAAUAGUUUGAUUCAAUGGGAUAGCAAAAAUUGGAUGAAAGGGACUUUCAAAUACUCUCUUCAUGUUUUUAAAUUGCCCUGAUGAGACAAACCACUCUACGCUGCCACCAAGCAGGAGGAAACUACAGCCUUCAGUGCCCAGGACCUGCAGAUAGGCUCUUGGGUGUCCCUUGGCAGAGCAGCCCCUCCCUUAGCUUGUCCCCACUCCCUGCUUACUCCAGGGUUGAGGGUGUGUAUAGGUCAGUGUAGAUUUCAUAGUUAGCACUUAAUAGAUCAAUUAGAAUUGCCCAUUGAAUCAAAAUUAUCUUAGUAGCUCUUCAUAUUACGUGUCUAUUCUAUUAUCUAAAUAGUGUGUAUAGCUCAGUGUAGAUUUUGUUAGCAUUUAAUAGAUCAAUUAGAAUUAUCCAUUGAAUCAAAAUUAUCUUAGUAGCUUUCCAUAUUACAUGUCUAUUCUGUUACUAACUAUAACCAGUUCUAGGCUCUGAAACUCUUCUUUUAAGGCCACACUUUAAAAUGAUACUCCCAGAGUUAGAUCUCCCUUUUAAAUUUAGCAUUACUAAUAAUAUUUUUAUUCCUUACACUGUGACAGGUGUUGCAAUGAGGUCUAGUCAGAGAACUGAAACCAAGGUAGUUUGUAAACACAGUGGAGCAAAUUUAAUGUAUUAAUGUAUCAUUUUCUGAAAUAAUCUAUAAAUAGGAAAUGUCCCCUUUUUGGUUAAUAUGUUUUAUGUUAAAUACAUUUUGUUAAAUAUGUUUUGCUCAUUUCAUCAAAUGAGAAAUAGGACAAUAUAAACAUUCUUAGUGAAAUAAACAUCCUUAUU